rnacentral:rRNA from 1 species
UUGAGUUAAAUAGUUGUUUAUUUAUAUUUAUAGAAGUAUAAUUAACCAAAGUAGUGUUAACGAAAUAUAUUUUUUACUAUAGAAAAUUAGUACUGUGAAGGAAAUUUUGAAAUAAUUGAAAAUAGAUCAUAAAAAAAGUUCCUAUAAAAUAGGGUACCUUUUGUAUUAGUGGUUAUUAAAAUAUCUAAUAUAAAAUUUUAUCUCGAAAAUAAAAGAUCUAAGUAAAUUUUUAAGUUUUUGUGUCAAAAAGAUUUAUAAAAUUUAUUUAGUUGUGAAAUUCUAAUCGCUUUUAUUAAUAUCUAGUAACUUCAGAAAUAAAUCUAGUUUAGAAUGCUAAGAAUUACUUUAUUUAAAAGUUAUUUUAAAAUCAUUUUUAGAUUUUAGGGGAUGAGCUCUAGGAUCUUUAUAUAAGAAUAAUUUUUUUUAUAUUUUUUAUAGGCUUAGAAUUAGCCAUUUGAUAGUGUUAUAAAAUAUAAUUUUAAGUUUUUGAUUUUAUAUUCUUUUUUGUUUAUGAGGUUUAUUUAAAAAUUUUUUUUUAUUUGGAAAUAUGAUAACAUAAGUAGAUUUAUUUUUAAGGAAAAUAUUAUAAAAUUUUCUAAUUAUUUUUUUAAAAAAAAGACUAGCAAAAGAACUCGGCAAAUAAAAUUUCCGAAUGUUUAACAAAAACAUUUCCUCUUAGAAGAAGAGGUAAGGCCUGCUCACUGAAAAUUUAAAGAGCCGCAGUAUCCUAACUGUGCUAAGGUAGCAUAAUCAUUAGUCUUUUAAUUGGAGACUGGUAUGAAUGGCUUAACGAGAAAUUGACUUUUUUUGCUAUUUUAAUUGAAUUUAAUUUUUUAGUGAAAAAGCUAAAAUUAUUUAGAAAGACGAGAAGACCCUAUAGAGUUUUAUAUCUGAUUUUAUUUUUUCUUAUUAGAUUUUUUGAGAAUAAAUAUAUAAAGAUAUUUUGUUGGGGCGACAUUAAGAUAUAAAAAACUCUUUAUUUUAUAAAUUUUUAUGUAAAUAUUUCAUGAUCCUCUAAAAGGGAUCAAAAGAAAAAAUUACCUUAGGGAUAACAGCGUAAUCUUUUUUAAGAGUUCUAAUCGACAAAAAGGUUUGCGACCUCGAUGUUGGACUAAAAUUUAGGCAGGGUGCAGCAGUUCUGCUUUUAGGUCUGUUCGACCUAUAAUAUUUUACACGAUCUGAGUUCAGACCGGCGUAAGCCAGGUUGGUUUCUAUCUUCUAAUAUAGAUUUUUCAGCUUAGUACGAAAGGAUUGGUUGAUUAUAAUAAUUAUAUUUAAAAGAGGAUUAUUAAUUUUUCUUAU